rnacentral:rRNA from 1 species
UACGAAGGGGGCUAGCGUUGUUCGGAAUUACUGGGCGUAAAGCGCACGUAGGCGGCUUUGCAAGUUAGAGGUGAAAGCCCAGGGCUUAACCCUGGAAUUGCCUUUAAAACUGCAUCGCUAGAAUUGUGGAGAGGUAAGUGGAAUUCCGAGUGUAGAGGUGAAAUUCGUAGAUAUUCGGAAGAACACCAGUGGCGAAGGCGACUUACUGGACACAUAUUGACGCUGAGGUGCGAAAGCGUGGGGAGCAAACAGG